rnacentral:tRNA from 1 species
GGGCCCGUAGCGCAGCCUGGCCGCCGCGCCUCCAUGCCAUGGAGGAGGACGCCGGUUCGAAUCCGGCCGGGCCCC